rnacentral:rRNA from 1 species
UACGGGGGGGGCGAGCGUUGUUCGGAAUUACUGGGCGGAAAGGGCGCGUAGGCGGUUGGAUAAGUCAGCUGUGAAAACCACGAGCUCAACUUGUGGCCUGCAGUUGAGACUGUCUGGCUAGAGUGUGGGAGAGGGAAGUGGAAUUCCUGGUGUAGCGGUGAAAUGCGUAGAUAUCAGGAGGAACACCAGUGGCGAAGGCGGCUACCUGGCCCACUCUUGACGCUGAGGCGCGAAAGCUAGGGGAGCAAACGGG